UAUAAUUAUCACUCAAAAAAGUAAAAGGAACUGGAAUCUACAUUAAUUUUUUCCUGUCACACCUCAUUCUACAGUGAGGGACUAAAUAACUUACCAAUUAAUUAAUUUAGAUAAAUUUGAUGACUAGAAUUGACCAGGGAGAUAUUUGAAAGAAAAUUCAAUUUAAAGCCUAAAUUGCAUUUUCUCCAAAUAAGUAUAAUUUAUAAUGAAAAUAAAAGGGUCAAAACUUAAAGUUAGGUUCAAGCCCAGAACUGAAAAUUGAGCCGUGGCACUACUGGUUAGGGCAGAAGAAGAAGAGGAGGAGGAAGACGCCAUGACUGGAGAAGAAUUAGCAGGCCCCCCUGGCCCUAAGCUCACUCGCCUCGUAUACUUCGUUGGUGCCGCCUUCAUUUGUGUGAUUGGAAUCAACAAGUGGCGUGAUUUACAGAACAAAUCCAUGGUUUUACAGCAGGAUCCCAAGCUUCAGCAACCACAAAAGCAGCCCUAGCUCUCCCUGAACUGAAAUAAUAUCCAGUUUUUAUUUAUUUAAAUUAAAGAUACUGUUAUUAAUAAAAACAAAUUGAUGGUUUUGGAGCUUUGUAAUGUAAUUAAUUUCAUUCAAGGUGAUGAUGAUGAUAUGACAUUUUAUAUAUUUGUGUGUAUUGUUGACCUGAACUUGAUAUUAUUUCAAAUACAAAAAGGGUUUCACAGAA